UACGUAGGGUGCGAGCGUUAAUCGGAAUUACUGGGCGUAAAGCGUGCGCAGGCGGUUAUGUAAGAGCGAGGUGAAAUCCCCGGGCUCAACCUGGGAACUGCCUUUGUGACUGCAUGACAAGAGUACGGCAGAGGGGGAUGGAAUUCCCCGUGUAGCAGUGAAAUGCGUAGAUAUGCGGAGGGACACCGAUGGCGAAGGCAAUCCCCUGGGCCUGUACUGACGCUCAUGCACGACAGCGUGGGGAGCAAACAGG
rnacentral:rRNA from 1 species